UCAGACCUCACCGAAAGCUACAUUAGACACCUGGUGCUGUUUGGCAAGGCAAUCAGGUGACAUGGCUUACCCUUUCGCUUGAAAGUGUGCAACCACAAACAGCAGAGUUGACGUUUAUAGAUAAUCCCAAGCAUAUACAAUAAUCUGUUAUCAUUAAGGGCCCGAAAAUGAAGGCUGAGUAGUCUUGACAGACAAGUUGACGUUAGCACGGUAGCUGCUAUCUGACAACAGCAGGUGUUAUCAUCGUUAUAAGUGUUAUUAAUGGUAGUAGUACGACAAAGGUGCACAACCAUCACAUCACAUUUAUCAAGUUUGUGUCUCUUUUGUCCAAAUUAGACGCAAAAACGAUCGUAUCCCUUAGCAAAACCACCUUACACUAACCAUAGCUUUAGCAUGCUGCGUGGCUAACGUUAGCUUGCCAGACUUGGAUUAUAGAUUCUGAUAGUGUCAGCUCAUAUAAUUAUGUCGUAAUCUUCAAGUAGUAAUCUUCAAGUUGGCAUAGUUUAUUCCCAGUUAGACUGAUAAGUCGUAUAUAAUGUUUGGGCUCUUUGUACAAGACGUCAACAUAACACUAGCUUCCCGUUGAGUUAGCAUCCCAAUUAGCCCACUCUUGACAACACAAACUAGCCAAAACAGCUCCGCCAUUGCCGUACGAGCAUUUCGACGUUUCUCGGCGACACUGCUUUUAUGCGGCGGCUCUAAAAAAAAAUACUCGCAAAGCACAUCAACUCACCAGAAAUGAAGCUUUAAGACGUUAGAGUUGAGCUAUUCAGAGAAGGUGUUUUUACGGGUUAUCCUGGCUUCAAGUAGGAGCUGCCUUAUCCAAGAUGGCGGCUCGCCGCACAGGGUUUCCUCAGCUUUGUACAAUGGAGUUAAGGGACAAAGAGCAUCUCUUACAUGGAGACAACCUCACCUGGACAGCCACAUCCUCAGUAACAGGAGGCUGCCCAGUGCGCAGGCGUACUGUAGUAGUGCAUGUGGUUGCCGGGAGGGGGCGCUGUUGCACAGAUCCGAGUCACAGCAGUGGAUGCGGACGCCAGGCAGCUCUUGUUGCUGGCAGUGUCUGGAUGUGGCACAGCCGCUGGUCAGGACGAUGCCCAGUGCAGCUGUGAGGAUGGAUGGAUGGACGGGUGGAGGAGACAGUAGGAGACUGAUGGCAGCAAGAAAAUGGAGCGCUGCAGCCAAGUGGAGACAGUGGAGCAUAAUACUACAAUCACUUUCAGACUUCUGACAGUUGGAGUCCUCAUUUUAUCCGAGAGUAGACUGAGGUCGACAAGACAACGCACUGCUGCAGCCAAGUGGAGCCUGUGGAGACUAACACUUUCCUGGGCUGAUUGUAUUCCAGAGGGUCAGCUGAUUGAAUACUUUGACAAGAUGUUUGUCACUCUGUGUGAUGUUGUCAGCCUUGUCGUCUUAGCCUGCAAAGGUGCCUCAUCAGCCCUUUGGGCCACGAGCGGCUCCUCCCGGACUUGUCAAGCGAGGGAACAUCUGGAUGCUCCACGCUUGUGUGCAUCAGCAGCUGACCAUCAGCGCCCUGGCUGAGGACAUCCACAUCCUUCGUUUGACUUCUCAUGGACUCGCCAGGGCGACUAAAAAAAACGGUGCUUGAAGCCCUUGUGUGAGUGGGUGCAGGUGAGCACCUCCGGGUUGGAGCAACCCACGUCCACGUAGCGCUGACCCUGGAUGAUGUUGCAGCCAUAGCACUGCAGACCCUCCACUGCACAAGACAAAAGACGAGGAUGACAAUGAGAGCCCGCUCCGGCGAGUGGUAAAGCCGUGAAAGAGAGCAAGGGAGUGAAGGAUGGAGAUUUGGAGGGGAAGAGGAGGUCCAGCGGUGAUGAUGAAAGUGAGUCUUUCCCCAAGCUGCUCCUGACUUAUCUUGACACACAAUAGCGACUUUACAUUUCAGUUCUCAGUCCAGACUGACAGGAGGGAGGCUUUAAAUUCUUGAUGAAAUUGCAAUUAAGACACCAAGCAAAAGAAAGAAGUGAAGCCGGCGGCGGCGGCAUGGAAGCCACGACAAAAGAAAGAAACAAGGAUGUGUGGAGGAAAUACAUGAAAAGUUAAUUUUGCUCUUUGGGCUUUUUUUUUUCUUUCUCCCUCUGUCAUCACAUAUAACCUUCCACUAAAGAGUGGAGAGGCGAUGUACUUAAACAUGGACAUUCUCUUCUCAGUCAUUAGCAAUAAUGACCAGAAUAUUCUACAUGGAGGCCAAGUAAAAGCAAAAUGUUGAGGGCUUUAGCGGCUGAUUUCACCCUUGGGGAGGAUGCGGCUUUAAUUCUUUUAUCAUAUUAUGGCUUUAAUGCUGCCACUCGCUGCGCCGUUGAAGGCCUUUCAGCUGCAAAGGGCUGAAGGUUUCUACGUGCCUGUGCAGUUUUACACCAAAGAGAGCGGCAAAGCUGGAUUCUCCUUACGCAGCACAGGAGGAAGUGUUAGCCUUUUUUGCUUUAUUGCCUUUUAAUCAUCUUUUUUGCUCCCACAUCCAGCAAAUCGUUCAUUUUCUUGUUUGCAGCUUUAUUGGUACUAUAUUACUUAAUACUCCCUCGGGUACCCAAUUCUACAUUGUGGCCAUCUAGGAGCGUGCAUUUUAAUUAUUCUUGUUAUAUGGAACAGUUUUUGGCCCUCUGUAUUGACUUGUAGACUUUAUAAGCUUUCCAGUUCUUUCAGAAUCUGCACCUAUUCAGCUGUAUUUCUUUGGAUUUCGUGGUUCCGGCAAAAACGCUCUGUUUUAAAGUAUUCCACAUUUACGAGUGCCAGACUUCCAUUUUGUGCCGCUAGCAGCGAACGGUAUAGGAGUUGAUAAUAAAUGGCGAUGUAUCUUUUUUUAAAAUGUAAGGUUUUAACAUACAGACAUAUGUGUUUGAUUCCGAAUCUGAUCCAGAAGUAGAGCCUGGACAGUCUGAUGUUUCUCAAGACGUCUCUCAAUGCUAAGUAGUUUUAGCAUGUUAGCAUCACAACAACUAAUAUGGCCACUAAUUGGCUAUUAAUUGGCUAUUAGCAACCCCGCUCCCUGUAUGCACACUCUAUAUUGCUACACAGACAAGCGAUUUUGAUUCAUGACUUACACAAAAUAAACGCAUU